rnacentral:rRNA from 1 species
UUGAUCCUGGCUCAGAUUGAACGCUGGCGGCAUGCCUUACACAUGCAAGUCGAACGGCAGCGCGGACUUCGGUCUGGCGGCGAGUGGCGAACGGGUGAGUAAUACAUCGGAACGUGCCCUGUUGUGGGGGAUAACUAGUCGAAAGAUUAGCUAAUACCGCAUACGACCUGAGGGUGAAAGCGGGGGACCGUAAGGCCUCGCGCAAUAGGAGCGGCCGAUGUCUGAUUAGCUAGUUGGUGAGGUAAAGGCUCACCAAGGCGACGAUCAGUAGCUGGUCUGAGAGGACGAUCAGCCACACUGGGACUGAGACACGGCCCAGACUCCUACGGGAGGCAGCAGUGGGGAAUUUUGGACAAUGGGGGCAACCCUGAUCCAGCAAUGCCGCGUGUGUGAAGAAGGCCUUCGGGUUGUAAAGCACUUUUGUCCGGAAAGAAAUCCUUUGGGCUAAUACCCCGGAGGGAUGACGGUACCGGAAGAAU